CCUACGGGUGGCAACAGUGAGGAAUAUUGGUCAAUGGACGAGAGUCUGAACCAGCCAAGUAGCGUGAAGGAUGACUGCCCUAUGGGUUGUAAACUUCUUUUAUAUGGGAAUAAAAUGUUCCACGUGUGGGAUUUUGUAUGUACCAUAUUAAUAAGGAUCGGCUAACUCCGUGCCAGCAGCCGCGGUAAUACGGAGGAUCCGAGCGUUAUCCGGAUUUAUUGGGUUUAAAGGGAGCGUAGGUGGAGUGUUAAGUCAGUUGUGAAAGUUUGCGGCUCAACCGUAAAAUUGCAGUUGAAACUGGCAGUCUUGAGUACAGUAGAGGUGGGCGGAAUUCGGGGUGUAGCGGUGGAAUGCUUAGAUAUCACGAAGAACUCCGAGUGCGAAGGCAGCUCACUGGACUGCAACUGACACUGAGGCUCGAAAGUGUGGGUAUCAAACAGGAUUAGAUACCCGAGUAGUC
rnacentral:rRNA from 1 species